UUCAAGUUCGUCUAACCUAAUAUAAUGUUAUGGCUACUUAAUUUCUCUGUUUCAUGAGUGGGCAAGAAGCUCCUCCCUCUUAACAUGCUGUGACAAGAUCGUAACGCCAUACUGCUAGUGAAACAAACAACUACGGUGAAACAAGUGGAAGUUUGGAGGAGGAAAGAGUGAACCUCUUACAUGAAGUGAUGAAGAGGGAGAAUUGUGUUGUGGUUGCAGAGAAAAUGGCCAAAACCUUCUCUCUUCGCAGGAAGGAAAUAAUUUAUCAGGCCCCUGCAAUUAAAGACAUCAUUGACCGAUGGCCUGCUUUAUUUGAUGCAACACAGAUAAAUGAAGAAUUCACAAGAAUAACCACUGUAAGUCUUGAGUCUACAUUUAUGGCCAAACUUGAUGCUUGCACCUCCAAAUUAAUGGAUGUAGUCUCAUCGAGGGGAGGAACUUCAGGACUGAGGAUAAGGCACAUUAAGAAUCAGCUUCUAGAGAACAAUGCAAUUGAAGUACGGUGAGAGGUGGCCAUUCGUUGCCUGGUUGUCUACCUUGGAGAAAAGGAACAGGACCUUUUCAAGGAGUUUAAUGAUAUUGAACAGUUUGAAGCAAACCUUGACAGGCAAGUAUUGAACAUCGCCAUCAUCAAAGACCAGGAUCCGAACACUGGAACCAUCGUGAUCGAGGGAGCCAAAAUCCUGGAUGGAAUUGAUGUCCUAAGGUGCUGUGCUUUGCUCAUGGGUUUAAUAUAUGCUCUGAAUCUGAGCUAUCCCAAGGACCUCAAAUGUACAUACAAAGUUUUUCAGAAACUGUUCCUUGAACUUGAUGGACAAAAAACAAGUGGAAAAGUAAUGAAUUUCAAGUACAGCAAUUUCUAACAACACUUUUCUUUCAAACCACUGUAGUAUGGCUAUUUGUUAGUCAAAGUUUUUGAAAGAUGUUGAAAAAUGUAAAUGCCAUGUUAUAUUUCCAAUAAAGUAAA